rnacentral:lncRNA from 1 species
AGGUAUUAAGAAUCUACUCUGGGGGCUGGCCUGGUGGUGCAGUGGUUAAGUGCACACAUUCCGCUUCGGCGGCCCGGGGUUUGCUGGUUUGGAUCCCAGGUGCGGACAUGGCACCACUUGGCAAGCCAUGCUGUGAGACAAGUCACAGAACCCAGUCCUCACUCACUGGAAGAGGAGAGAUGACACAUGAAUACCAGGGGAGAGGAAUCAACGGGGCCGUCAGAAGUGAGGCCGUCUACCACAGGGGGCUGUGAUUUUUAGGCGUGGAGGAAUUGCCAAAGACUACACAUGGAUGAGAAAUGAUUUGUCCAGAUGCAGCUGGGACAUUUGAGAUAUGCCUUGAUCCACCCUUGGCCAGGUGGACCGUUGUAAG